rnacentral:ncRNA from 1 species
UGAAUACUGCCACCGGGUAGUGAAUGCAUCGGCAUUCGCUUUCGCAUCGUUAGGUCUUAGAAGAUGCGAAUGCGGAUGCUUUUGUUUU